GCACUCAUAGCUCAGGGGUAGAGCGUAAGUUUAGUAAGCUUAAGGUCAAGGGUUCAAAUCCCUUUGAGUGCA
rnacentral:tRNA from 1 species